rnacentral:rRNA from 1 species
GACGAACGCUGGCGGCGUGCUUAACACAUGCAAGUCGAACGGAAAGGCCCUGCUUUUGUGGGGUGCUCGAGUGGCGAACGGGUGAGUAACACGUGAGUAACCUGCCCUUCACUUUGGGAUAACUUCAGGAAACUGGGGCUAAUACCGGAUAGGAGCUCCUGCUGCAUGGUGGGGGUUGGAAAGUUUCGGCGGUUGGGGAUGGACUCGCGGCUUAUCAGCUUGUUGGUGGGGUAGUGGCUUACCAAGGCUUUGACGGGUAGCCGGCCUGGGAGGGUGACCGGCCACAUUGGGACUGAGAUACGGCCCAGACUCCUACGGGAGGCAGCAGUGGGGAAUAUUGCACAAUGGGCGGAAGCCUGAUGCAGCAACGCCGCGUGCGGGAUGACGGCCUUCGGGUUGUAAACCGCUUUCGCCUGUGACGAAGCGUGAGUGACGGUAAUGGGUAAAGAAGCACCGGCUAACUACGUG